GCGGCGUGCCUAACACAUGCAAGUCGAACGAGAAAGUGGAGCAAUCCAUAAGUAAAGUGGCGCACGGGUGAGUAACACGUGACUAACCUACCCUCGAGUGGGGAAUAACCUCAGGAAACCGGGGCUAACACCGCAUAAUAUCUACGGAUCAAAUGCGUAAGCAGCUUGAGGAGGGGGUCGCGGCUGAUUAGCUAGUUGGCGGGGUAAUGGCCCACCAAGGCAGUGAUCAGUAGCCGGCCUGAGAGGGCGCACGGCCACACUGGAACUGAAACACGGUCCAGACUCCUACGGGAGGCAGCAGUGGGGAAUUUUGCGCAAUGGGGGAAACCCUGACACAGCAACGCCGCGUGGAGGAUGACGCCCCUUGGGGUGUAAACUCCUUUCGAUCGGGACGAUUAUGACGGU
rnacentral:rRNA from 1 species